rnacentral:lncRNA from 1 species
AACUUUUUGGUAACAAUUUAGACAUUUUAAGUACAAAUAAUAUACUUUUUUUUUUCUUUUUUUUCCCCAGAUGUGGUUGCAUCAAACAGAUCUAUUUCUGCAGCCAGUCCUAGGAUCUUACAAAGGUCAUGUUUCUUCUCUUAUUUUGAAGAAUCCUGACAUAGUUGAGAUUAGAAGAGCUUUAACAGAGGAGGCUGGAAGAGGCUUGGCCUGAGUGACUACUGAAAGGAUACCUGAAAGGCUUGGAAGACAAUUUAUGAGACAGCAGAAACCAUGCAGAUUGAAUGUAAGCCUCCAAUCAUGACAAGAAGUGAUAUGCAAGACGUACAUGCCACAUAAUGAGAUGAGGAAGAGGUACUGUAUAUAAGUCUUACUAACCACAAAUUUUGAAUAUGUUCUUAAUUCAUAAAAUCUGUCUGUGGAUAAUGCCAAUUCAGAAAAGAUGAAACCCAU